UGAGGAAUUUUGCGCAAUGGGGGAAACCCUGACGCAGCAACGCCGCGUGGGUGAUGAAGGCCUUCGGGUCGUAAAGCCCUGUCAGGUGGGAAGAAUGUCCCGGGACUGAACAGGUUCCGGGAGUGACGGUACCACCAGAGGAAGCACCGGCUAACUCCGUGCCAGCAGCCGCGGUAAUACGGAGGGUGCAAGCGUUAUUCGGAAUUACUGGACGUAAAGCACUGGUAGGCGGUCCUGCAAGUCUGAUGUGAAAGUCCCGUGCUUAACCCGGGAAGUGCAUUGGCAACUGUGGGACUUGAGUACUGGAGAGGAUGGGGGAAUUCCCGGUGUAGAGGUGAAAUUCGUAGAGAUCGGGAGGAAUAUCAGUGGCGAAGGCGCCCAUCUGGACGGUAACUGACGCUGAGACGCGAAAGCGUGGGGAGCAAACA
rnacentral:rRNA from 1 species